CAGCCUGAAAUGAUGACUCUCUUAAAUUUCAUGUCUCUUCUCCGACAUUUUUCUGUGGAGAUAGUUGCCUUAUUAAUCUGAUCAGGCUG
ensembl:snoRNA